rnacentral:rRNA from 1 species
AAUGUUCUGGGCUACCCCCGGGCUACAAUGGUCGAAACAAUGGGUUGCAACCCCCAAAGGGGGCACCAAUCUCCGAAACUCGAUCGUAGUUCGGAUUGAGGGCUGAAACUCGCCCUCAUGAAGCUGGAUUCGGUAGUAAUCGCGCUUCACCAGAGCGCGGUGAAUACUUCCCUGCUCCUUGCAAAA